rnacentral:rRNA from 1 species
UACGAAGGGUGCAAGCGUUAAUCGGAAUUACUGGGCGUAAAGGGUGCGUAGGUGGUCCGUUAAGUCAGUUGUGAAAUCCCCGGGCUCAACCCGGGAAAUGCUUCUGAUACUGGCGGACUUGAGGCCAGUAGGGGUCACUAGAACUGACGGUGGAGCGGUGAAAUGCGUAGAUAUCGUCAGGAAUGCCGGUGGUGAAGACGGGUGACUGGGCUGGUUCUGACACUGAGGCACGAAAGCGUGGGGAGCGAACGGG